AGUGAACGCUGGCGGUAGGCCUAACACAUGCAAGUCGAACGGCAGCACAGUAAGAGCUUGCUCUUACGGGUGGCGAGUGGCGGACGGGUGAGGAAUACAUCGGAAUCUACUUUUUCGUGGGGGAUAACGUAGGGAAACUUACGCUAAUACCGCAUACGACCUACGGGUGAAAGCAGGGGAUCUUCGGACCUUUCGCGAUUGAAUGAGCCGAUGUCGGAUUAGCUAGUUGGCGGGGUAAAGGCCCACCAAGGCGACGAUCCGUAGCUGGUCUGAGAGGAUGAUCGGCGACACUGGAACUGAGACACGGACCAGACUCCUACGGGAGGCAGCAGUGGGGAAUAUUGGGCAAUGGGCGCAAGCCUGGUCCAGCCAUACCGCGUGGGUGAAAAAGGCCUUCGGGUUGUGAAGCCCGUUUGUUGGGAAAGAAAAGCAGCAGGUUAAUACCCCGCUGUUCUGACGGUACCCAGAGAAUAAGCACCGGCUAACUUCGUG
rnacentral:rRNA from 1 species